AUUUAGCGAGCUGAGUGGGGAGGAGAGAGGGACAGAGAGCCUGCUUGCUUUAAAGGAGCCAACCGGACAGGAGCCGCUUACACUCGUGUAGCGGCUCCUCUCCUGUCCGGUUGGCUCCUUUAAAGCAAGCAGGCUCUCUGUCCCUCUCUCCUCCCCACUCAGCGGCUCUUCUC
rnacentral:miRNA from 1 species